GGGCCGUUAGCUCAGUCGGUAGAGCAACUGACUUUUAAUCAGUAGGUCGCUGGUUCGAAUCCAGCACGGCUCACCA
rnacentral:tRNA from 17 species